AUAGUUACCUGGCAGUGGUGUCGGUGGUCAGAGAGGCCGAUCUUCCUGGACGAGGCUAUCCCAUUGUACUAUGGGUAUGCUGACGCCUGCUAUGUCCCCAAAUGCGGGAAAUUGAAUUGAUUUUUUUAUUAGGGACAGUGCAUAUUAAUAAACAUUUG